rnacentral:rRNA from 1 species
UACAGAGGGUGCAAGCGUUAAUCGGAAUUACUGGGCGUAAAGGGUGCGUAGGCGGUUAUAUAAGUUAGAUGUGAAAGCCUCAGGCUUAACCUGAUAAGAGCGUCUAAAACUGUAUAGCUAGAGUACUGUAGAGGUUAGUGGAAUUUCCAGUGUAGCGGUGAAAUGCGUAGAUAUUGGAAGGAACAUCAGUGGCGAAGGCGGCUAAUUGGGCAGAUACUGACGCUGAAGCACGAAAGCGUGGGGAGCAAACAGG